AUUCGGGUUGAUAACUAGGCGGCGGUUUCAGUUUGCUCAACAGCCUUUGCCCUUUAAGUACCCGAGAAAUCAAGAUCUCGGCGGUCGAUCUUACACAUUUGCUUUCUUUCUUCGUGUUGGUUAUAUGUUUAUUCGAUCGCAACAUAC
rnacentral:snoRNA from 1 species